CCUACGGGGUGCAGCAGUGGGGAAUAUUGGACAAUGGGCGAAAGCCUGAUCCAGCCAUGCCGCGUGUGUGAAGAAGGCCUUCGGGUUGUAAAGCACUUUCAGUGGGAAAGAAAGCCUUGGGGCUAAUACCCUCGAGGAAGGACAUCACCCACAGAAGAAGCACCGGCUAACUCCGUGCCAGCAGCCGCGGUAAUACGGAGGGUGCGAGCGUUAAUCGGAAUUACUGGGCGUAAAGCGCGCGUAGGCGGUCUGAUAAGCCGGUUGUGAAAGCCCCGGGCUCAACCUGGGAACGGCAUCCGGAACUGUCAGGCUAGAGUGCAGGAGAGGAAGGUAGAAUUCCCGGUGUAGCGGUGAAAUGCGUAGAGAUCGGGAGGAAUACCAGUGGCGAAGGCGGCCUUCUGGACUGACACUGACGCUGAGGUGCGAAAGCGUGGGUAGCAAACAGGAUUAGAUACCCCAGUAGUC
rnacentral:rRNA from 1 species